UUGAACGCUGGCGGCAGGCCUAACACAUGCAAGUCGAGCGGAUGAGAAGAGCUUGCUCUUCGAUUCAGCGGCGGACGGGUGAGUAAUGCCUAGGAAUCUGCCUAUUAGUGGGGGACAACGUUUCGAAAGGAACGCUAAUACCGCAUACGUCCUACGGGAGAAAGCAGGGGACCUUCGGGCCUUGCGCUAAUAGAUGAGCCUAGGUCGGAUUAGCUAGUUGGUGAGGUAAUGGCUCACCAAGGCUACGAUCCGUAACUGGUCUGAGAGGAUGAUCAGUCACACUGGAACUGAGACACGGUCCAGACUCCUACGGGAGGCAGCAGUGGGGAAUAUUGGACAAUGGGCGAAAGCCUGAUCCAGCCAUGCCGCGUGUGUGAAGAAGGUCUUCGGAUUGUAAAGCACUUUAAGUUGGGAGGAAGGGCAGUAACCUAAUACGUUAUUGUUUUGACGUUACCGACAGAAUAAGCACCGGC
rnacentral:rRNA from 1 species